rnacentral:rRNA from 1 species
UACGAAGGGGGCUAGCGUUGCUCGGAAUCACUGGGCGUAAAGCGCACGUAGGCGGCUUUCUAAGUCAGGGGUGAAGUCCUGGAGCUCAACUCCAGAACUGCCUUUGAUACUGGAGAGCUUGAGUCCGGAAGAGGUGAGUGGAACUCCGAGUGUAGAGGUGAAAUUCGUAGAUAUUCGGAAGAACACCAGUGGCGAAGGCGGCUCACUGGUCCGGUACUGACGCUGAGGUGCGAAAGCGUGGGGAGCAAACAGG